rnacentral:rRNA from 1 species
GUAACCUUACCAGGUCUUGACAUCCCGAUGCUAUUUCUAGAGAUAGAAAGUUACUUCGGUACAUCGGUGACAGGUGGUGCAUGGUUGUCGUCAGCUCGUGUCGUGAGAUGUUGGGUUAAGUCCCGCAACGAGCGCAACCCCUAUUGUUAGUUGCCAUCAUUCAGUUGGGCACUCUAGCGAGACUGCCGGUAAUAAACCGGAGGAAGGUGGGGAUGACGUCAAAUCAUCAUGCCCCUUAUGACCUGGGCUACACACGUGCUACAAUGGUUGGUACAACGAGUUGCGAGUCGGUGACGGCGAGCUAAUCUCUUAAAGCCAAUCUCAGUUCGGAUUGUAGGCUGCAACUCGCCUACAUGAAGUCGGAAUCGCUAGUAAUCGCGGAUCAGCACGCCGCGGUGAAUACGUUCCCGGGCCUU